CUUCUGGCUCGUUCACUGCAAAAUCAAUUGGUGUGGCAGUGUGAAAAAUCCCAACACACCCUUCUACUGCUGGACCAAAACUCUCUGGGUCGCUCAGAUCAGCAUUGAAAAAAUGUAGCUUUUCAGAUGCAUCUGGUAGAUUUUCAUACACAUACCAAAUUCUGCAUCAUCAUGGUCAUAGUACUGGUUUUUCCAUCGAAAGGGUUAUUUACCUGGAUGAGAUCUUAUGGUGGUAUUAACAGAAUAUCCAUGUUCAAGGAGUCUCUUGAUGAUCCAUGAAGCAAUGAACCCUGUGCCUCCUGUGACACAAACUUUAUCUUUUCCCUUUUCCAUUUGAAUACUCUUAAUGUGUCACUCUUCAAUCUCCGAUACUUUUCUUCUGGUUGCUCUUUGUGUGUAUAAGAAUAACAUAUCUAUAUGUUUCAUUUCUUUCA